UAACUGACGNUGAGGCACGAAAGCGUGGGGAUCAAACAGGAUUAGAUACCCUGGUANNCCACNCCNUAAACGAUGAAUGCUAGCUGUUAGCGAUAUACUGUUAGCGGCACAGAGAAAUCGUUAAGCAUUCCACCUGGGGAGUACGCCGGCAACGGUGAAACUCAAAGGAAUUGACGGGGGCCCGCACAAGCGGAGGAACAUGUGGUUUAAUUCGAUGAUACGCGAGGAACCUUACCUGGGCUUAAAUUGCAGUGGAAUAACGUGGAAACAUGUUAGCCUUCGGGCCGCUGUGAAGGUGCUGCAUGGUUGUCGUCAGCUCGUGCCGUGAGGUGUCGGCUUAAGUGCCAUAACGAGCGCAACCCUCAUCGAUAGUUACUAACAGGUUAAGCUGAGGACUCUAUCGAGACUGCCAGCGUAAGCUGUGAGGAAGGUGUGGAUGACGUCAAAUCAGCACGGCCCUUACGUCCGGGGCGACACACGUGUUACAAUGGGAGGUACAAAGGGCAGCUACCUGGCGACAGGAUGCUAAUCUCUAAAACCUUUCUCAGUUCGGAUUGGAGUCUGCAACUCGACUCCAUGAAGCUGGAUUCGCUAGUAAUCGCGCAUCAGCCAUGGCGCGGUGAAUACGUUCCCGGGCCUUGUACACACCGCCCGUCAAGCCAUGGAAGCUGGGGGUACCUGAAGUAUGCAACCGCAAGGAGCGUCCUAGGGUAAAACCGGUAACUGGGGCU
rnacentral:rRNA from 1 species